AGGCUGUGGAAAAGAAGAAGAAGACGGAAGGCCAAUUCUUUGAGGCCAGCAAAGAGGAAUCCAAAGUACUCCCUCAAGGGAAGAAGGACAAUCAGAAGACUAUUUAUUGUCAAGUUGUCAAUGCGUUGACAAACUUUAAUGUGUUUGGUGGAAUACAAGACUGCCACUAGACAGAAAUUGUUUCCUCUUAAUAUACAUGCUCUUGCAAGUUUUACUUUUCCUUUUAUACAUCAUAAUAUUUUUCCUGGGAAAAUUGUAUGUGUAUUUAGGAGAUAGCAUGUAUUAUGAUGCAAUAUAAAACUGAAGAGCGUUCUCUCUGAGACGGAUCAAAAGAUAAUAAUGUCUUGUUAGCAAGUUUCAUUUUCUUUUUAUGCAUAUAUUAUCUUUCCUUUGCUUA